AUUGAACGCUGGCGGCAGGCCUAACACAUGCAAGUCGAACGAGUGGCGGACGGGUGAGUAAUGUCUGGGAAACUGCCUGAUGGAGGGGGAUAACUACUGGAAACGGUAGCUAAUACCGCAUACCAUCAGAUGUGCCCAGAUGGGAUUAGCUGGUUGGUGGGGUAACGGCGCACCAAGGCGACGCACCCUAGCUGGUCUGAGAGGAUGACCAGCAACACUGGAAGUGAGACACGGUCCAGACUCCUAGGGGAGGCAGCAGUGGGGAAUAUUGCACAAUGGGCGCAAGACUGAUGCCGCCAUGCCGCGUGUAUGAAGAAGGCCUGCGGGUUGUAAAGUACUGUCAGCGGGGAGGCGUUACCCGCAGAAGAAGCACCGGCUAACUCCGUGCCAGCAGCCGCGGUAAUAC
rnacentral:rRNA from 1 species